ensembl:lncRNA
GGGAGGAGUAGCUUCAAGUUGUUCACUGGAACACGCCCAUUCCAUGGUAUCAGACUCCGUCAAGGACAUUGAGUCGUCAACGACAAUCUGUUCCUCCUAACCGCUGAAGGAAAUCAAGCCACUCGCAGCAGAUGAGGAUCACUGAUCUUCUUGUGUAAAGAACAUUGGUGAUUCGAGGAGACAGAUGCAAUCCACGAACGAAGAGUGCCCCAGUAAGUGCAGCCUCCAGGUGGGCACUGCCCAGACAGGCGACACUCUCACUGUGCCCGUCAGCGUUGUGCAGGGAACCACACUUGCGGUGCGACAUUUGAAACAACACAUGCAGGAAAUUUGCUCAGAAAAUUGCACUUUUAAGCCGGAUGGCCACAGGGGAAGUGCAAGUGAUUGAGCUGGUGACUGGUCUGUGAAACUGUAAGAGUGUAAGUGUUAGUUUUGUGUUUCUGCCCCUGCUGUUCCCACACAAGGUUGUAGCACUUUAUUUCAUAAAUGUGAUCCAACAACGGUAAAGGGCAAAUAUUAACCAUAUAUGCUGUUUAUAUUGCUUGUAAUUGGGAUGCAGUAAACUUCUCAUGAGUAUUUUAACAUACAUUAACAUACAUUUAAAAUACAGCAGGUCAGACCCGCAAACACUGGCUGAAUAACAAAAUUAUGAACACCACACAAGGGUUAACUUUUAAACUUUUUUGUUGCUUUUCAAUGCUUUACUUGCCAGCCAUUGUACUUGCCAGUGUUUUUUUUUUUUUUUUUUGGGGGGGGGGGGUCUUGUAAAUUGCCUUGUAAACCCCAUGAAAUUCGCAAAUAGUGCAUAAACAGCCAUCUUAAUAGAGGGCAGGGUUUGCAUUUCUCCUUAGUUCUCUUACGCUUUUUUCUCCGUAUUCCCUCCCUUCUCCUUCUAGUUUUUCUGACUAUAUUUGCCAGUCUUUGUAUCUGCUGCAGAAGAAGAACAGCAUACUGCAAGGCAGUCAUCCCAAAAUCACAGCCGUUUCAGAGACUUUAUUAAGAAGACACCAGGUUUAACUCAAAAACAUUAUUAUGAUGGCGAAAGUAGUACUGAGUACUUGGCAUGGAGAAUCAAAACUAUACAGAGAGGCUUAGCUAAAGAAUGACGUGCAUCAUUUGAAGAAGGAAUGUCUACUGAAGGGGGGUCUGGUGGACCAACUGUAAGACGGCAGUCAGAGUUUAAUCCAGAGACCAUCUUGAGUGAGGAAGAAUGCAAGAAAGCAAUUGCAUUCAUGAGCCAUUCUUCUGAUGAGGAUGCCAUCAAGAAGAAAAUGAAAUUGACAUUCGACUAUCGCCACAACAUGGUUCUUGACCCCAUGCAGUCAAGAGAUAUAUUGACAGUCUUUCCACGAUUCACAGACAUUAAAGGCUUGAUUGAGCAAGACUUUGUUCUGAUGUUUGGAGAAGGAGUGUCGGGAAAGCUACUGGAGAAGUGGACCACAUUCAAGAAAUAAAUGAUUCAGCAGUGCAAAAAGCUUCCCAGCACCAGUGAUUUGGAAGAACUACUACUAGCAGCUAAAUCUCCUACUGGUGACUCAGAAGAGGGUGCUAAUUUUGUUUGGGACAGUGACCUCUCUUCAAUUAUACUUCUGUUGCAUCUGAUCCCACCUUCUGCCCAAGGCCGGAAAAGACCAGGAAAGAGUGAAACAAACAUUGAGGAGCAUCUUCGAGAAAUUGCAGCUAUUGCUCAGCCCUACCUCCUGGCUGUGGGACCUCAGAAGGGUUCAGUUCACCUAUACUUCAUCAUUCUUGAUCAGCAUGCCAUUCCAUGCAAGUCAGCCUCUUCUCUUGGUUCCUUUGACGAGCUGUUUAAGGCACACUUUGUUUUUGGCACCUCUUACAACAUUAUGCUACACAACAUGUACACUUUCAUUCAGACCACUGUGUACAGCAUAGAUGUUGGCAAAGUGAAAGAGAGUCCUCGUGUUCCUGAGGUUAGAGCAAGGUUGCUUAGUUAGGUGCCUAAAGUUUUUCUGCCCUCAUGAAGUGUUUUGUUUGUCAGUUAUAUGGUUCAAAAAUACUUCGUAGGCACCUAAGAUUAGUUCACGGUUUUGUUCCUGGAAAGAAUCUUCGCCUUAAAUGUGUAUAGGCAGUAUGUAGUUCUGUGUUCGCUAAUUUUUCAGGUUUUAGAAAACAUUUGCAUAUAAAACAUACUGAGCAAAGUGACCAGAAUUUUGACACCAUUGACAACAGUGAGACUGCUGAGGCAGAAGGACAAAUUAGUGCUCUAACAUUUGAUCAGAUUGGCAGUGUUGGAGAGGUAGCCACAACAUCUGUAUUGUUUAAGUCAAAUAAGAGCACUUUGGAUAUGUGUGCUUCUGCUGUUGCGCAACUAAAAGUUGCUGGGUUAAAUCAGUCUGCUGUAAGUGGUUUUGUUUCAUCUAUGGAGGAAAUUGUUUUUGAGAUUCACAGUCAGGCCAAGGAUGCAGCUAUGCUCUGUCUGCCUCCACAUGACAUUGCUACUAAAAAGGAAAAUAAAGAGUUCAGUUGAACAUUUGGAAAAUCCAUUCACUUUGUUGAAUUCGGAAGCCAAACGAAAGAGACUCUUUAAGGAGAAAUGGGGAACUGUUGAACCAACCGAAAUAGUGCUUGGCACAAGAUUUGACAGCAGAAGAAAUAAAACCACAAGAACAUUUGAUCAAGUUGUUGUAACAGAUACAUUUUUAACUCCUGAUUGAAUAAUAUUAAUUUAUAUGCUUUCUUUAUCUCUUUCUUGCACAGGAUAUUAGACGGUAUGGUUUUAAUUCUAUAACCAAGCCUUUAGUAAAUGAUCCAAACGUGCUUGAGAUUGAGGGGGUUAAGAAUCCAGUAUGUGGCAGUUGAAUUAGGGGUACAAUUGUCCAAGUCUCAGGGGAUAAUCUUGGCGUACACAACUUAUUAGGGUUUCUGGAGUCAUUUGGGGCUCAAUAUUGCUGUCUUUUCUGUGUUCUUGAGAAAGAUCACUUUCAGUCUGUGUUCUCUGAAGAUAACCCUGAGGUUGUACUAAGAACAACUGAGAAGCAUGCUCUGCACUGUAAAAGGUUACAAGAUGACUCUACACUACCUCAUGUUUAUGGCGUCAAACAGGUCUGUUUGUUAAAUUCAACACAGCUAACAAUUUUGCUGUGGAUAUAAUGCACGACAUUCUUGAAGGUGUCGCUCAGCUAGAGGUAAAAGUUGUUUUGCAGUACAUUCAGCAUAAUUUUCUGAGUGCUGAUGAUCUUGUUGGUAGAAUACAUGCUUUUGAUUUUGGUUACAAUCAGCAGAAGAACCGUCCUCCGACAGUCAAAUUGUUUGGUGCAAGCAACGAUUUGGGUUUAAAUGCCAUACAGUCUUGGUGCUUGUUGCGAAACAUGCCUCUGUUAUUUGGUGAUUUAGUGCAGAGAGAUGAUAAACACUGGUAUCUUUUGCUUUUACUUCUGCGAAUUGUUAACAUCGUAUUUUCACCAGUCCUAACAGAAGGCAUGACCAUUUAUCUUAAACAAACAUUUAAUAAUUGAACAUCACCAGUUAUUCAAAAAAUAAUUUCCUUUUGCCAAAGCAUCACAUAAUGAUACAUUACCCACAUUAUAUAAGAAAAAUUGGACCAAUGUGGUGUAUGCAUUAUGAAGCUAAACACAAAUUCUUUAAAACACAAUUAAAAAGCUUCAAAAACAUCACCAAAACAUUGGCCAACAAGUACCAGAGUUGUAUGGCAAUGCACUGGGAGUCUUUUGGCCAGUACAGAUUGACUCUUGGUCCAGGAAAGAUGGUGGACCUCAGUGAACUUAAAGGUGGCAUGGAGAUGGCUUCCAAACUAGGAGUGGAAAUAUCAGAACAUGUCUAUUCUGUACAGUGGAUCAAACAUCAUGGCACAGAGUAUCACCCUGACUUUAUUAUCUGUACUGAAGUGGCAUGUGAGAUGCCAGUGUUUAGUAAGAUCAAGACUAAUGCUGUGAAAGAUGAAAAUGUACUGUUAUGUGGAACACUGAUGGAAACACUCUGUUUUGAUGACCAUUACCAUGCAUUUACAGUCAGACUGCAUCCAGUCCGAGUUCUAAAGUCAGUGAAUGUUAACAAGCUAUGUUAUUUCAAACCAUUUGAUCUUCAAAUGAAAUAUGGUACAACAGAUUCUGCACUGCAUAUAGUGCCCUAUUCCCAUUUUAUGCAGAUGUGAUUUUUUUUUUUUUUUUUUUUUUUGUGAAUGUAUUUCUUUUUAAAGCCUG